rnacentral:rRNA from 1 species
UACGUAGGGUGCAAGCGUUGUCCGGAAUUAUUGGGCGUAAAGAGCUCGUAGGCGGUUUGUCGCGUCUGCUGUGAAAUCUCAGGGCUCAACUCUGACAUUGCAUUCGAUACGGGCAGGCUCGAGUUCGGUAGGGGAGACUGGAAUUCCUGGUGUAGCGGUGAAAUGCGCAGAUAUCAGGAGGAACACCGGUGGCGAAGGCGGGUCUCUGGGCCAUUACUGACGCUGAGGAGCGAAAGCGUGGGGAGCGAACAGG